rnacentral:rRNA from 1 species
GAAACGGCUGCUAAUACCGCAUACGCCCUACGGGGGAAAGCAGGGGAUCUUCGGACCUUGCGCUAUUGGAUGACCCUGAGUCGGAUUAGCUAGUUGGUGAGGUAAAGGCUCACCAAGGCCACGAUCCGUAGCUGGUUUGAGAGGAUGAUCAGCCACAUCGGGACUGAGACACGGCCCGAACUCCUACGGGAGGCAGCAGUGGGGAAUAUUGGACAAUGGGGGCAACCCUGAUCCAGCCAUGCCGCGUGUGUGAAGAAGGCUUUCGGGUUGUAAAGCACUUUCAGCGAGGAGGAAGGCUCUAAAGCUAAUACCUUUAGGGAUUGACGUUACUCGCAGAAGAAGCACCGGCUAACUCCGUGCCAGCAGCCGCGGUAAUACGGAGGGUGCAAGCGUUAAUCGGAAUUACUGGGCGUAAAGCGCGCGUAGGUGGUUGAGUAAGCGAGAUGUGAAAGCCCCGGGCUUAACCUGGGAACGGCAUUUCGAACUGCUCGGCUAGAGUGUGGUAGAGGGUAGUGGAAUUUCCUGUGUAGCGGUGAAAUGCGUAGAUAUAGGAAGGAACACCAGUGGCGAAGGCGGCUACCUGGACCAACACUGACACUGAGGUGCGAAAGCGUGGGGAGCAAACAGGAUUAGAUACCAUGGUAGUCCACGCCGUAAACGAUGUCAACUAGCCGUUGGGGAUCUUGAAUCCUUAGUGGCGCAGCUAACGCAUUAAGUUGUCCGCCUGGGGAGUACGGCCGCAAGGUUAAAACUCAAAUGAAUUGACGGGGGCCCGCACAAGCGGUGGAGCAUGUGGUUUAAUUCGACGCAGCGCGAAGAACCUUACCUGGCCUUGACAUGCAGAGAACUUUCCAUAGAUGGAUUGGUGCCUUCGGGAACUCUGACACAGGUGCUGCAUGGCCGUCGUCAGCUCGUGUCGUGAGAUGUUGGGUUAAGUCCCGUAACGAGCGCAACCCCUAUCCUUGGUUGCUAGCAGGUAAUGCUGAGAACUCCAGGGAGACUGCCGGUGACAAACCGGAGGAAGGUGGGGAUGACGUCAGGUCAUCAUGGCCCUUACGGCCAGGGCUACUCACGUGCUACAAUGGCGUAUACAGAGGGCUUCCAACUCGCGAGAGUGAGCCAAUCCCUUAAAGUGCGU